rnacentral:rRNA from 1 species
UUUUUCGGAGAGUUUGAUCCUGGCUCAGGACGAACGCUGGCGGCGUGCCUAAUACAUGCAAGUCGAGCGGACAGAAGGGAGCUUGCUCCCGGAUGUUAGCGGCGGACGGGUGAGUAACACGUGGGUAACCUGCCUGUAAGACUGGGAUAACUCCGGGAAACCGGAGCUAAUACCGGAUAGUUCCUUGAACCGCAUGGUUCAAGGAUGAAAGACGGUUUCGGCUGUCACUUACAGAUGGACCCGCGGCGCAUUAGCUAGUUGGUGGGGUAAUGGC